rnacentral:lncRNA from 1 species
ACAUGGGUGGCCCCAUAGGGACUUGGGUGGCCCCAUAGCGACGUGGUGGCCCCAUAGCGAUGUGGGUGAACCCAUAGGGACGUGGGUGGCCCCAUAGGGAUGUUGUCGCCCCAUAGGGUCAUGGUGGCCCCAUAGCGAUGUGGGUGGCCCCAUAGGGAUUUGGGUGACCCCAUAGGGACUUGGGUGGCCCCAUAGGGACGUGGGUGGCCCCAUAGGGACGUGGUGGCCCCAUAGGGACGUGGUGGCCCCAUAGGGUCGUGGUGGCCCCAUAGCGAUGUGGGUGAACCCAUAGGGACGUUGUCGCCCCAUAGCGACGUGGGUGGCCCCAUAGCGACGUGGGUGGCCCCAUAGCGACGUGGUGGCCCCAUAGGGACGUGGGUGACCCCAUAGGGACGUGGGUGACCCCAUAGGGACGUGGUGGCCCCAUAGGGAUGUGGGUGGCCCCAUAGGGACGUGGUGGCCCCAUAGCGACGUGGGUGGCCCCCCCAGGAUGCUGGCGGCCCCAUAAGUGUGGGGCGCGGUGCGGGGGGGCGGUGUGGGGCGGUUGUGGGUCGGGGCGCGACGCUGUUGGCUGCUAAUAAAAAGAGAGAGCGACCGCACGCCUCCGCCCCACGGAUGGACCCACAGCGCUGCCCCAUAGCGACCCACAGAGACCCACCGAGCCCCAUAGAUCCCAUAGNGAGGAGGAAGGGGUUGGGGGCAGCCAGGAGGAGCUUGGUGGCAUCUUGGAGGAGUUUGGGGACAAGUAAGGGGAGCUUGGUGGCAUCUUGGAGGACCUGGGUGGCACCUUGGAGGACCUUGGAGACAAGUAAAGGCACCUUGGUGGCAUCUUGGAGGACCUUGGGGACACCAAAGGGGACCUUGGUGGCAUCUCAGAGGGGUUGGGGUCACCCAAGAGGAGCUUGGUGGCAUCUUGGAGGACCUUGGUGGCAUCUUGGAGGACCUUGGGGACAAUUAAGGGCACCUUGGUGGCAUCUCAGAGGAGUUGGGGUCACCCAGGAGGAGCUUGGUGGCAUCUUGGAGGAGUUUGGGGACAAGUAA